AAAACAUAAACAAAAGAGGAAAAUUAUACCGUAGUGAGCAAUCGGCAGUGGAGAUUUUUUAAGUCGUUUGAAGUAUUGAAUAAUGAAAUCGAAUCCGCGGUAUAAUGUGUUGCAAUCGUAGCAUAUCAGAGAUCUUGGAAGGCACUGUUAGUCCGACCGUGAGCCGCCAUGCCUGUAGGGAAAACAGAGGAUUACUGAAAAACUAUAAAAUUUUCAAGCUGUUGGUUAACCAAAACACUGCACUGGACAUUGGUGUUAUUAGGGUGGUUCAAAAAGGAACUGUGGAACAAACUGUGUAAAAUGAAGCACACUGCUGUCAAAAGAGUUUCACCAGACAAAAAACAUCGCAGCAGUUUCUAUUCCAAAACAGUAAAGAGAGGAUGAUUCAGAUACAAAACUGUCAAUUUUAGCAAUUCGUAAUUUUCAAAA